rnacentral:lncRNA from 1 species
UUGAAGCUCACCGGUUUCAGAAGCCUGCUGGAUCAUUGGAAAUGCAUUGAAAUGAAUUCAUUGUCCAUGUGUUUAUGGAUGACUUCUGAAAGAAAAAUAGCAAUGUUUGACAUAAGGCCAAGAAAUAGACCAAACUUCCUCAGAACGGAAUGUGAUUUUAGCAAGCUUCCAAAAUUCCAGUUGCUCAUUGAAGCUUAGUGAAGAUAGUCAGACCUCGUGGGAUGGAAAUAGAGGCUGAACAGCACACAGAGAUGCAGAGCCAUCCUGUGAAUAUUUUGGUCUAAGCUGGGGUAAGUCCUUUUCUCAAGGUCCUGACCAGGUCCUUAGGAAUAUGCUGAGCUUAAAACCCUUCCCUUUAAGUUUUUGAAUCUCAAAGAAAAGUGUCCUUUGGAGAUGUUGGAUGAAAGUUGAACAUCGGUAGGUGAAACUCUUUGAGCACUUUGCAAACUACUGCAGCCAGACAGCUCUUUGCAUGAAUUCUGAACUGAAGAAUGUCAUUCAAAUUCUUCUGGGCCCAUUUUCUACCACUCCAAAAGGAAAUGCCCAGAGGAAGGGAAGCCUUGGGAAAACAGAAAUAUUAGGAGGAAGCUGUGAUUUCCAAAUGGCAAGACAGCCCCACCAUCAAUACUUGAAGUUGGUAAGAUAAAUGACGCACUGGAGAGAAUGAGGAUUUGAGGAGUUUAUUGCUUAUAUUUGCAUUGAAGAGACCAGAGUCAGAUAAAUGGAAAAGAGAAUAAUGCAAGACUUGUGGAUGUUGGAUUCAUAAAAAAGAAAGCAAAUGAAAGCUGGAGAUGCCUAAAAAAGACUUCUUAUAUGCCAUGAGAGAUAAGGGCUCCCCUUCUGACAUUAGCAUCUAUUAUCUUCCUGGCUGAAUUCUUCCCUAAAGGGCGCUCGGCAUCCCUAGGUGGUUGCCAGUGUCAAGGCAACCUCACCAACUGUGAAGGUAUCCUGAGCUCCUGGAACAGGCAGAAAAGAAACCUGGCAGGAAGAUUUGGAGGUGGCUGCAAGCUGGCCUGACUUCUGCAGUGAAACAAGUCCCAGGAGCUGGAGGUACACCAUGCUGAGCUCCUGUUUCCUUGGUGGCCCACUCUGGACAAGCUCACACACCCCUCUACCAUAUUCUCUCUGGGCUUCUGGGACUCAAUCCUAAUAAACACUUGGACAUAGAGAAAAAGCUAUCAGCAACGCAGAAUGAAGAGGAGGUAUCGGAGGUCCUAGAAGAUAAAGAAGGGAGGGUGGAGGGACAAGUGACAAAAUAGUGCCAAUUCCUGGGCUCUGGAAGAGUAAACCUGUCCAUAUUGCUGAAGAAGGAACAGCCUUGAAGAAGGAACAGCCUUAUCAGUGAAUUAGAAACACUCCAUUAAUGAAGGGAAAAUUUCA